CAGCCGCCGCGGUAAUACGGAGGGUGCAAGCGUUAAUCGGAAUUACUGGGCGUAAAGCGUGCGUAGGCGGUUCGUUAAGUCUGUUGUGAAAGCCCCGGGCUCAACCUGGGAAUGGCAAUGGAUACUGGCGAGCUUGAGUGUGUCAGAGGAUGGUGGAAUUCCCGGUGUAGCGGUGGAAUGCGUAGAGAUCGGGAGGAACAUCAGUGGCGAAGGCGGCUACCUGGACUGACACUGACACUGAGGCGCGAAAGCGUGGGGAGCAAACAGGAUUAGAUACCCCUGUAGUCCCUGUCUCUUAUAC
rnacentral:rRNA from 1 species